UGUUUAACCAGAAACUACUGGACACCUGCUUCCUUCCAGGCUCAGAUUCCCACAAAGACUCACAUGGCUUCACACGCUCUGCUCCCUCAUGGACUCUGCUUCCCCACUUCUGGACUCCUUUUUCCCCGACCCUUUUUCUCCGUCUUGUGAGUAUCCCUCCUUAGUUUACUUUUGUUAAUCCAGUUUAGUGUUGGUUGACUUCCGUUUCUGUAUUCGUAGUGUUUGCUGAGUUUUGAAUAGCUGGGUUUAGUUUUGUUUCCCCAGUUCAGCUCUCCAUUUAUGUACUAGUUUCAUUAUCUUUUUAAAUGAAACUCUUUCCAUUAUUCACCUGUCUGCAAGUCUCUCUGUGUCUGUGCCUGCGUUGUCCAACUCAGGGCCCAAACCGUCCCUUAAAUGACUCUGGGUCCGUUUCACGAAGCAGGUUCAACAAACUCUGUGUAAGCCUGAACUCUGAGUUGAUCUACUCUGAGAUAGAAAACUCUGAGUUUUCGGUUUAACAACGGCUGAUUUGAGUUGGUUUAAUCAACUCGGAGUAGUUUCACCCAGAGUGCACCGCAACUAUAAAAAGACAGCAUCAAUGGAACCCCGAUUCGACGAGUCACCAUGGCAACGGGGAAGCGGAGAGCUACGUUUUUUUUUACACCACAUGAAUUGGACAUUUUAAUGCGUUCAUAUGGCGACUUCGAACACGUUUUUAGAAAGAAGUGCAGCACCUGCAGCUGCAAAAGAGAGAGAGAGAGACAGCGUGGGAGAACAUUGCUGCCCGGGUCAAUGCGUAAGUUUAAAUCACAAUAAUAUUACAGGAAAACUGUUUAAUUGUAGCUUAUUCUGUUAUUUCAUUUAGGUGCAAUCCUGCGGGGGAGAAGCGCAUGUGGCAGGAGCUGAAGAUGAAAUAUAAGAACAUUGUUCAAACAGCCAACAGAAAGAAAGCAGAUGCCUGUAAAAAGGGAGGAGGCCCAGCACCGCCACCUGUAACGGAGGCAGAGGAGCUGCUCCUAAGCCAGAAUUUGGGAAGGCCAGUGGCUGAGGGAAUCCCUGGAGGGAGACUCAGCUGCUGCAUUAUUGGAGACGUUCAAGAAUGAAUCCCUUUCGAGUGCGAAGCCUGCUCCACCUCCGUCAUGGAUCCCCCAGCUCCCCUGCCUCCUCUCCAGCACCAGCUUCAGCACCAGUACCAGCUCGGACACCGACCCUGUCAACAUCAACCUUCAGCACGUAACAGCAACGUCUUAUCACUGGCAAGAGGAAAAGGGGCCACAGAAAAUUGGACCUUCCAAGCGUACUUGUGGAGAUGCAGGCUGAGAAGGAGUGGAGUCAUGCCCAGCAUGAUGAGAACAUCUGGUUGCUCCUCAGCGAGGCAAGAGAGAAUGAAGCAGCCUUGCAGCGGAGGAGAUGGCCCAGAAUGCUGCCUUCAACCAGUCAUUCCUGGGUGUGCUGGGGCAGCUGGUGCAGGUAGUGCUGGGUGUGCUGGGGCAGCUGGUGCAGGUAGUGCUGGGUCUGCUGGGGCAGCUGGGGCAGGCAGUGGGCAGCCAGUGAGUCCACCACCCAGAGACUUGAGAUUUAGUUGUAUAUAGUUUUACUUUUAGCCCUCCACUGUAGGACACGCCCGCCACAGUUUGUACUUUGCACAUUGUAAAUAGUUUUGAUUUUGCUGCUGACUAAUAAAC
ensembl:lncRNA